AAAUCGUCGCUGCCAUUACUAUGAGAAGUGAGUAAGGGGAGAAGCGGGUCGCCGUGGAGCCAUCAGCUCGUUGCCGAUCCCAAUUGGGUCCGAAUUAGGAUAUCAGGAUCUUCGCCCAAUCUUACCGAGGGUGCGCAAACCGUAGGCGGGCGGUGAAACCGGUCGUAGCGGGCGGAAUUCUCGCCGUGGUUGAAGACCUGCCACGGAUCCGCGCUGCCUCGUGGACAGGGGGGAUCUUCACCGUGAACCGAAGUAAGUUGAGUACCAGUUUGUUCUUUUUCCUCUCGGCGUAGCGUAGCGUGAUUCAAACUAGGAUUUUGCCGCACUAGCUGGCAGCGUCGCCGUGUUGGGCGUCGUGGGGGAGUACGGCUCCUAUGCCAUCCGUAUUGGGAUGAAGGGUCCAAAUUAAUUGGUCGGAUACCAAAUCUAAACUGCUGAUCAGCGAUCGGAUGGAUUAGCACAGUUAUGAAAUGAGAUGUGAUCGACACCGUUGGUUUCCGAUCCGGUGGUUACUAUUGCGUAUCGAUUCGAUGAAAUUAGAAUCUAAUCUUAACCGUAGAAAAUUGAUUGGGUGGUCCAUCUUGGCUGAUACCCCUUCGGAUCGCUGACUUUACAAAUAGAACCCUAUGUUUUAGGGAAACAAACCGGUCGUCCAUCGCCGGUGUUCACUGAGUCUCGGGAUACUUACAAGGAAGCCCCUGCACUUUUCAGAAAUUGACGCGCAGUCCAGAGAACAGAUAAAUUGGAUAAAUAAAUAUGGAAAUGUAUUUUUAAUGUAAAAAUAAUUGCUAGAAUUUGUUUAAUCCAUAGAAAAUUCAUAUUAAGUCCAAAUUUGUCUAAUCUAGUUUCUAUAAUUUUGUAAUAAUAUUGUGCAUCACAUAGUGUCUCUUUUGACAUGAAAAUUGUAUUAAAAUUUAUCUCUUAAUUAAUCUUGUAUCAAAUACAUAGAACAUUUGGAAAUUCAUAACUUAAAUUCCAUAACUCCAAAAUUAAUGAUUCAUGUUCCUAUGAUCUUAUUUCAAUAUGUAGAUUAUUAAUAUGUACUUUGUAUACAUGUUUAGUGUGAUGUUAAUUUCCUUUUUAUACUAUGCUUGUUUGUAUUGUGGCGAGUAGAAGAGCCAGUGGUUGAGGAUCCCGGAGUUCAGCAGGUAGAAGCUGUUGAGCAGGAGCUCAUUGAAGACAAGUUGUGCCCUUAACCACUUUUAUUACCCAAUAAUGUUCUUUAUUAUCAUUUAUUCCUGCAUUGGUAUAAUUUUGAUGGGACCCAAUAGGUAACCCUAGACUGGUUAUCCUUUUACCUUGUUCACCCCUGAAUCAUUUGGGUAGUUUUGCUAUUGUUCUAUAUGGUUUUGGGAUUAUUAUUACAUUAUGUCUAUGUUUCAAUUAUUUUGUUAUUUUAUUAUUCAUGUCAAGAUCAUUAUUUUUAAUUGGAACAUGGAGCUUAACUUGA
rnacentral:lncRNA from 1 species